rnacentral:rRNA from 1 species
AGCAGCCGCGGUAAUUCCAGCUCCAAUAGCGUAUAUUAAAGUUGUUGCAGUUAAAAAGCUCGUAGUUGAACUUCGGGGUUUACUCAUUGGUCAGGCUUAAUUGUCUGUACUGGUGAGAUGAAUCUCUACCUUCUGAGGAACUUUCAUGUCAUUUAUUUGGUGUGAUUGGAAAUCAGGACUGUUACUUUGAAAAAAUUAGAGUGUUUAAAGCAGGCUAACGUCUGAAUACAUUAGCAUGGAAUAAUGAAAUAGGACGGACUGAUUCUAUUUCGUUGGUUUCUAGGGUCACCGUAAUGAUUAAUAGGGAUAGUUGGGGGCAUUAGUAUUCAAUUGUCAGAGGUGAAAUUCUUGGAUUUAUUGAAGACUAACUACUGCGAAAGCAUUUGCCAAGGAUGUUUUCAUUAAUCAAGAACGAAAGUUAGGGGAUCGAAGACGAUCAGAUACCGUCGUAGUCUUAACCAUAAACUAUGCCGACUAGGGAUCGGACGAAGUUAAUUAAUAAUGACGCGUUCGGCAACCG